ensembl:lncRNA
UGCUGGAUGACUUGAUGGAGUACUGUGACAUGGACAAAGAUGGACUCAUCAACUUUCAGGAGUUCGCCAACUUCCUCAACUGGAAGAACAAAAUGCCCGCCAGUAAAGUGGAGCAGCGCAUUCUGACUAGUGAGAGUAAGUCCAGCACGCCCCAGAUAACAUGCAGAGAGAGGCUCUCCCUGUGAGACCUGCAGCCUCAGAGGCUUUGGCCAGACCGGAGGACCGGGAACCUGCAGAGACUAUCGUAUGUACGGGACUCCCACAGUGUGCACCAACCUGGUGGCCCCGCGGAUCAAGAGCGUCAGCGACAGCACUAACUACGGUGACCAGACCACAGCAUUUGACUUCCUGUUUCCUACGCUGUACUCCCUAAGGGGAGUCCACAUGGAGCACUUCUUCUGUCCCCGCACCUAAGAGGAGAUCACUGACAUAUUCCGAAAUGUGGGCGCAAGUAUUUCCGAGGAGACAUUUGCGGAGGCGUAGAAGCUGGCAUCCAUGAGACACCCCACUGGGGACGUGUGUGGAGAUUUUCCAGGACGUUCUAAAGGAAAUUCAAGCUAAUUAAAUCUGAAUAGUAUCUUUUACCUCCUCAGUAUCUAUUCUGUGAAAGAAUGUACUUCAAGUGUUAUUAUUCUUUUUUUUUCUUUGAGACUAACUAUUAAUUGUCAUAUUAACGGUCAUUAAAAUUAUUUUUGAUUGUGGACUGUCAUGUAUUUUCUUAGGUUGAGAGCAAUAAGCUGUUGCUAGAAUAAGUAAUACAUUUUUUUCUGCUGCUAACUAAAUGCUUACCCUUCCUGCAUGUGAUAAUAUACAAUAUCUACUCCUGACACCUAAGUAAAUAUUGAGAAUUAUGAGUACCAUCAAUGCCAUCGGAGUCUUAUCAUUUGAAGUCCUGUUUAUUCUGUCAUACUCUUUGAUUAGAUUUACACACAUAUUUACUCUAUGGUUGUAUUAAGUCAGUGUUAUAAUGUUAAUCUGUCAAUCCUAAUUAAAUAUGUGGCCACAGCCACAGCCUUAGACACACAAACACACAGGCGUGCGCACAUACACACAAGCGUGCGCAAACACCCACCUACUGUACUGACGGCAUAUUGAAUUGUUUGGAUAACAAUAUCAACUUGAAUAACCAGAUGAAUAAAAGGUUCCCGGGUGCAUACACUAAUCUAUGUCGAAACCCAACAACACAGAAACAUAACAUGUUAAUAAACAACACAUGAUCUUUUUGUCAGUGUUUUAUCACAAUUAUUCUACUACUGUAAAUGACCAUUUAACAAUCUGACACCCUGGCGUGGUGAAUUGGCUAAUAUGCUAUAAACAUAUUCACUAGCGUUUUAACAUAAGUAAAGCUAUGCACACUCAUAAUCACAUUAGGAAUAACCAGGAAGCGUCUAACCAGAACCCCCUACGCACCUGUCCAUAUUACCACGCCUGGAAAUUAUAAUAAUCCCCAUCCAUAUUUCAUUAUGCAUGAAUUAAUGCUUACUAAUGAAGGAAUUGUCUCUCUUUUUGAUGCAUCAUUAAUAGUGUGAUUUAAGAGUUGACAGAAUUGGAUGAAACACAGUGUUCAAUAGCCUGUCAGUGUAAAUGUUUCACAUUGUAUUUGAUUAAAAAUCUAUUUAACUAGGCAAGUCAGUUAAGAACAAAUGGUUGUAGUUGUAUACAAUGAGGGCCUAAUAGAGGAUGUUUGAUUUUGGCACUGGCACGAUACAUUACAGUACACCGACAUCUGUGAUUCCUUUGAGACAUUUAAUCAUAAUGUAAGAUAUUUGUAUGCUUCAUAAGCACUACAUAAAACAAAUCAACUAUAAGCAUCUGUCAUACUCUAUAAAUGAUGUAUAAAGGGUGACAUAACCAUUAACACUGUAGGGUGAUUUGCCAAAUGUGACAUUACACACUUUGUAUGUUUUUACAAAAUGUAUAGAAUAUGACAUAUGCUUAUAGAUUAUUUGUGAAGCAUUUAUGUAGUGCUUAUGUAUGCUAUAUAAAGCCUUUACAAGCUGUACUUCCUUUAAAGUGGGACCGGUAUGUGUAUACUAUUCUACCUUUGUUUAUUCCCAAACUAAACCGAGGUCACUUAUGUAAAAUGUGUAUCAUAUAAACAUCUAUAGGAGGAUAGGGAGACUUGCCAGUUAUUAUCCAACCGCUUUCAAUCAACACUAAUUCAUAAUGUGAUUUGUGUAACACUAUCGCCCCCUUCUGCUGAGGAUUGUUGUGUUUAUUAAUUGUGUCUUACCUUUAUAGAUGCUAUGCGGUAUCAAUUUUACUUCUGAAUAAUCAGACAACUAAGGUGUUUCUGAACAAUACAGAACAACAGUUUAACCUGUGAUACUGUUUCACAGAGACAAAAUGUCAUACAGUAUCACCGUGAAGCAGUUUAUUUUGUUCUGGGACAAUCUAUAACAGCAGGGAU